AGGGCAAGUCUGGUGCCAGCAGCCGCGGUAAUUCCAGCUCCAAUAGCGUAUAUUAAAGUUGUUGCAGUUAAAAAGCUCGUAGUUGAAUUUCGGGGUCAGCAGGUUGGUCGUGCCAAUGGUAUGCACUGGCCUUGCUGAUUCCUCCCUCUUGAUGAGCCGUAAUGCCAUUAAUUUGGUGUUGCGGGGAAUCAGGACUGUUACUUUGAAAAAAUUAGAGUGUUUAAAGCAGGCAAGCGCUUGAAUACAUUAGCAUGGAAUAAUGAAAUAGGACGUUUGAUCCUAUUUUGUUGGUUUCUAGGAUUGACGUAAUGAUUAAUAGGGAUAGUUGGGGGCAUUAGUAUUCAAUUGUCAGAGGUGAAAUUCUUGGAUUUAUUGAAGACUAACUACUGCGAAAGCAUUUGCCAAGGAUGUUUUCAUUAAUCAAGAACGAAGGUUAGGGGAUCGAAGACGAUCAGAUACCGUCGUAGUCUUAACCAUAAACUAUGCCGACUAGGGAUCGGAUGAUGUUAAUUUUUUAAUGACUCAUUCGGCGCCUUACGGGAA
rnacentral:rRNA from 1 species